AACAGACUCCCCAAUGCACUUCCAUGUACAGGCUGAUUGGUCCAUUGCUGAGAUGAAUGCUGAGAUUAGAGAGAUCAAGCCACGCCUACCUCUACACAUCACAGACUGAUAAACAGCUGGUGGUGCAUGAGAUCCGUGUCUCAUGGACAAGGUUCAACAGAGAUGCGGUGCUGGGACUCUAUGACACCUACAACAAGUCACAGUUGAGCUGGAGAACAGCCAAGUCAUGCUGAAAGGCCGCAAAGCAUCAAGCUGUGUCAUAUCGUCUGCACGUCUAGUGCCCAGAUCAUGCAGUGUUCCCACUUACCAGCCUGGAGGGAAGGUCGCCUGACUAAGAAGACCAGCUGGGUGGGCAAGCUGGAUGGACUGCA